rnacentral:rRNA from 1 species
GAUGAACGCUGGCGGCGUGCCUAAUACAUGCAAGUCGAGCGAACAGACGAGGAGCUUGCUCCUCUGACGUUAGCGGCGGACGGGUGAGUAACACGUGGAUAACCUACCUAUAAGACUGGGAUAACUUCGGGAAACCGGAGCUAAUACCGGAUAAUAUAUUGAACCGCAUGGUUCAAUAGUGAAAGACGGUUUUGCUGUCACUUAUAGAUGGAUCCGCGCCGCAUUAGCUAGUUGGUAAGGUAACGGCUUACCAAGGCAACGAUGCGUAGCCGACCUGAGAGGGGGAUACGCCACACCUGAACUGAGACACGGUCCCGACUCCUACGGGAGGCAGCAGUAGGGAAUCUUCCGCAAUGGGCGAAAGCCUGACGGAGCAACGCCGCGUGAGGGAUGAAGGUCUUCGGAUCGUAAAACUCUGUUAUUAGGGAAGAAAAAAUGUGUAAGUAACUAUGCACGUCUUGACGGUACCUAAUCAGAAAGCCCCGGCUAACUACGUG